CACUGCUUUUUCUCCACUGGUUACCUCUCCACUGAAGCCUUUCAAAGAGCGGUAGCUGUCACUUUAAGUCUUGUAACUUAGUCAUAAAUGCUUGUGAUGGACCUUUAGCACAUACUAAUAAAACACACCAUGGUCAAGCUGAUAAAACACACACACAUUCCAGUAUAUUUCACCAUUUAUUCAUACAUAGUAUUUUGUUAAGACAGAACAAACGUACACACGCUCUUCAUAUAACAAAGAAUAUUUGAGUUUUUGAAGGUGUAACAGGGGCUGAUGUGAAUGCUGGGCUUUGCACUCACUGCCAUGCUUGUACACACAGACACACAAAGAAACAAACCAACCUCUCAUCAGCACACCCACAACAGAGGCUGCACUCUGCUCCUGUGAUUUUUCCCUCUCAGUUCAAAGACCUGAGGAGAGACUAAAGGAGAAGACAAGAGAGUUUCAGAGAGCAUCAAUCAGCCGUCUGUGACGCAGUCGUCAUGAGGGUACUGUGUCUCUGACUACAUCUUCAUUUGGAUCCAGACUUUGUCUUCACAGUUUGAGGAUGCCACUCCCCCUU